rnacentral:rRNA from 1 species
CGCUGGCGGCGUGCUUAACACAUGCAAGUCGAACGGAAAGGCCCUGCUUUUGUGGGGUGCUCGAGUGGCGAACGGGUGAGUAACACGUGAGUAACCUGCCCUUGACUUUGGGAUAACUUCAGGGAACUGGGGCUAAUACCGGAUAGGAGCUCCUGCUGCAUGGUGGGGGUUGGAAAGUUUCGGCGGUUGGGGAUGGACUCGCGGCUUAUCAGCUUGUUGGUGGGGUAGUGGCUUACCAAGGCUUUGACGGGUAGCCGGCCUGAGAGGGUGACCGGCCACAUUGGGACUGAGAUACGGCCCAGACUCCUACGGGAGGCAGCAGUGGGGAAUAUUGCACAAUGGGCGGAAGCCUGAUGCAGCAACGCCGCGUGCGGGAUGACGGCCUUCGGGUUGUAAACCGCUUUCGCCUGUGACGAAGCGUGAGUGACGGUAAUGGGUAAAGAAGCACCGGCUAACUACGUGCCAGCAGCCGCGGUGAUACGUAGGGUGCGAGCGUUGUCCGGAUUUAUUGGGCGUAAAGGGCUCGUAGGUGGUUGAUCGCGUCGGAAGUGUAAUCUUGGGGCUUAACCCUGAGCGUGCUUUCGAUACGGGUUGACUUGAGGAAGGUAGGGGAGAAUGGAAUUCCUGGUGGAGCGGUGGAAUGCGCAGAUAUCAGGAGGAACACCAGUGGCGAAGGCGGUUCUCUGGGCCUUUCCUGACGCUGAGGAGCGAAAGCGUGGGGAGCGAACAGGCUUAGAUACCCUGGUAGUCCACGCUGUAAACGGUGGGUACUAGGUGUGGGGUCCAUUCCACGGGUUCCGUGCCGUAGCUAACGCUUUAAGUACCCCGCCUGGGGAGUACGGCCGCAAGGCUAAAACUCAAAGGAAUUGACGGGGCCCCGCACAAGCGGCGGAGCAUGCGGAUUAAUUCGAUGCAACGCGUAGAACCUUACCUGGGUUUGACAUGGAUCGGGAGCGCUCAGAGAUGGGUGUGCCUCUUUUGGGGUCGGUUCACAGGUGGUGCAUGGCUGUCGUCAGCUCGUGUCGUGAGAUGUUGGGUUAAGUCCCGCAACGAGCGCAACCCUUGUUCACUGUUGCCAGCACGUUAUGGUGGGGACUCAGUGGAGACCGCCGGGGUCAACUCGGAGGAAGGUGGGGAUGACGUCAAGUCAUCAUGCCCCUUAUGUCCAGGGCUUCACGCAUGCUACAAUGGCUGGUACAGAGAGUGGCGAGCCUGUGAGGGUGAGCGAAUCUCGGAAAGCCGGUCUCAGUUCGGAUUGGGGUCUGCAACUCGACCUCAUGAAGUCGGAGUCGCUAGUAAUCGCAGAUCAGCAACGCUGCGGUGAAUACGUUCCCGGGGCUUGUACACACCGCCCGUCAAGUCAUGAAAGUUGGUAACACCCGAAGCCGGUGGCCUAACCGUUGUGGGGGAGCCGUCGAAGGUGGGACUGGUGAUUAGGACU